rnacentral:rRNA from 1 species
ACCUGCCCAAUGAUUAAAUUUAAAUGGCCGCGGUAUUUUGACCGUGCAAAGGUAGCAUAAUCAUUAGUUUUUUAAUUGAGAACUGGUAUGAAAGGUUGAACGAAAAAAAAACUGUCUCAAUUUAAUUUGAAUUAGAAUUUUAUUUUUAAGUAAAAAAGCUUAAAUAAUUUUAAAAGACGAGAAGACCCUAUAGAGUUUUAUAUUAAGUUAUAUAUAUGAGAAAUUAAAGGAUUUAAAUUUUUUAUAUAUAAUUUAAAUAUUUGGUUGGGGCGAUUAAAAAAUUUAAGUAACUUUUUUUAAAUUUAAACAUUUAUUUAUGAAUAAGUGAUCCAUAUUUAAUGAUUAAAAGAUU